GGGCUGGUAGAGAAUACCAAGGCGCUUGAGAGAACUCAGGAGAAGGAACUCGGCAAAUUGAUACCGUAACUUCGGGAGAAAGUAUGCCCCGUUAGCUUGUAGGAGUACAUCCGAAGGGCGAAGGGGCCGCAGAGAAUCGGUGGCUGCGACUGUUUAUUAAAAACACAGCACUGUGCAAACACGAAAGUGGACGUAUACGGUGUGACGCCUGCCCGGUGCCGGAAGGUUAAGUGAUGGGGUGCAAGCUCUUGAUCGAAGCCCCGGUAAACGGCGGCCGUAACAAUAACGGUCCUAAGGUAGCGAAAUUCCUUGUCGGGUAAGUUCCGACCUGCACGAAUGGCGUAACGAUGGCCACACUGUCUCCUCCUGAGACUCAGCGAAGUUGAAAUGUUUGUGAAGAUGCAAUCUACCCGCGGCUAGACGGAAAGACCCCAUGAACCUUUACUGUAGCUUUGCAUUGGACUUUGACGGGAUUUGUGUAGGAUAGGUGGGAGGCUAUGAAACCAGGACGCUAGUUCGGGUGGAGCCAACCUUGAAAUACCACCCUGGUGUCGUCGAGGUUCUAACCCAGGUCUGUGAAUCCAGAUCGGGGACCGUGCAUGGUGGGCAGUUUGACUGGGGCGGUCUCCUCCUAAAGCGUAACGGAGGAGUACGAAGGUCACCUAGGUACGGUCGGACAUCGUACUGAUAGUGCAAUGGCAAAAGGUGGCUUGACUGCGAGACCCACAAGUCGAGCAGGUGCGAAAGCAGGUCAUAGUGAUCCGGUGGUUCUGUAUGGAAGGGCCAUCGCUCAACGGAUAAAAGGUACUCUGGGGAUAACAGGCUGAUUCCGCCCAAGAGUUCACAUCGACGGCGGAGUUUGGCACCUCGAUGUCGGCUCAUCACAUCCUGGGGCUGUAGCCGGUCCCAAGGGUAUGGCUGUUCGCCAUUUAAAGUGGUACGUGAGCUGGGUUUAAAACGUCGUGAGACAGUUUGGUCCCUAUCUGCCGUGGGCGCUGGAAGUUUGAGAGGGCUUGCUCCUAGUACGAGAGGACCGGAGUGAACGCACCCCUGGUGUACCGGUUGUGACGCCAGUCGCAUCGCCGGGUAGCUAUGUGCGGAAGAGAUAACCGCUGAAAGCAUCUAAGCGAGAAACUCGCCUCAAGAUGAGACUCCCCCGGGGCCUCGAGCCCCCUGAAGGGUCGUUGAAGACCACAACGUUGAUAGGUCGGGUGUGGAAGCGUGGCAACACGUUAAGCUAACCGAUACUAAUUGCCCGUGUGGCUUGAUCC
rnacentral:rRNA from 1 species